UCCUUGUUUCCAAGGCAGUCCCGCUAGAGUGCUUGCUUUCGCCGAGCAACUAGCGGCAAGGGUUGCGCUCGUUCAAGGACUUAACCCGACGUCUCACGACACGAGCUGACGACAGCCAUGCAGCACCUGUGUAUCCGUUUGUAUUGCUACAAAACCCAAUGUUUCCAUCAGUAGCGUAUACAUGUCAAGCCUAGGUAAGGUUUCUCGCGUAGUGUCGAAUUAAACCACAUGUUCCACCGCUUGUGCGGACCCCCGUCAAUUCCUUUGAGUUUUAAUCUUGCGACCGUACUCCUCAGGUGGAUCACUUAACGCGUUAGCUUCGACACGGAUCUUGCUAUGCAAAACCCACAUCUAGUGAUCAUCGUUUACGGCGUGGACUAC
rnacentral:misc_RNA from 1 species